UUAGCAAUAGUUAGACAAGUGGGUAAUGUUGGGGUGAACCAAAAAAGUUUGGGUAGAGCUGGAUCUAAGUGUUGGCUAGGUAAACGCCCUGUAGUAAGAGCAGUAGUUAUGAACCCUGUGGACCACCCCCAUGGGGGCGGUGAAGGGAAAGCUCCCAUUGGUAGAAAAAACCCACAACCCCUUAGGGUUAUCCUGCGCUUGCAAGAAGAACUACGAAAAGGAAAGAAAUAUAGUGAUAGUUGUAUUCUUCGUCGCCGUAUUUAA
rnacentral:rRNA from 1 species